rnacentral:rRNA from 1 species
GACGUAGGAUGCAAGCGUUGUCCGGAUUUAUUGGGCGUAAAGAGUUCGUAGGCGGUUCGUUAAGUCUGAUGUUAAAGACUGGGGCUCAACCCUGGGAGUGCAUUGGAUACUGGCGGACUGGAGUACAGUAGAGGCAAGCGGAAUUCCCAGUGUAGCGGUGAAAUGCGUAGAUAUUGGGAAGAACACCGGUGGCGAAGGCGGUUCUCUGGGCAUUACCUGACGCUGAGGAGCGAAAGUGUGGGGAGCGAACAGG